rnacentral:rRNA from 1 species
UACGGAGGGUGCGAGCGUUAUUCGGAAUUACUGGGCGUAAAGCGCGUGCAGGCGGUUUGGCAAGUCUGAUGUGAAAGCCCCGGGCUUAACCUGGGAAGUGCAUUGGAAACUGCCGGACUUGAGUACUGGAGAGGAAGGGGGAAUUCCCGGUGUAGAGGUGAAAUUCGUAGAGAUCGGGAGGAAUACCAGUGGCGAAGGCGCCCUUCUGGACGGUUACUGACGCUGAGACGCGAAAGCGUGGGGAGCAAAC